rnacentral:lncRNA from 1 species
GGAGAGACAAGCCCUGUGUCAGCCUGACACAAAUCUUCUUUUUAUCAGUGACCUGAAAAUUAAUGUUAAACUGCCUCAAUAAGAGGAUUUCAUUAUCAGACAUGUAGCUUUAGACAGCUGAGAGCAAGUCUUUAAAGCUACAUGUCUGAUUAAUAAGAAUGGACAGUAAAGAAGCAGCCAAAGUCCUGAUGAUACAAAGUCUAAACAAAUAGGUCUUCAACUCCUUUUUGACAAACAUUCACAGUGUCCACAGUUCUCAGUGCAAGAGGGGGAGAGUUGGCAAGUUUCGAGCAAACACUGCAAAUACAUGGUCUCCUUCAGUUCGAAGUGUGGUCCAAGGGCCAGCCAGCAAACCCUGAUCAGGGGACCUUAAGAGUCCUUGUGAUUGUGUUCAGAGCUUUGCAUGGGCAAGCUGCAGCUUGUAUCACAAGUAAUUUAAAUUAGAUUCUGAAUUAAAUGGGGAGCCAGUGAAAAGAGUUUAGGAUGGGUGUGACAUGAGACCAUUGAGAUGAUUUUUUUCAGGAGCUGAGCUGCAGCAUUUUGAACCUUAGAGUCACAGGUGCCAUCAAUUGCACUCACGUGCGCAUCACUGGGCCUUUGGGGCCAAAUGAGGGCGACUUUGUUAAUUGCAGGUCAUACCACAGCCUCAACAUUCAGGUAACUUGCAUAUGAUAUACAUGCCAUCUGCACAUUGAGACACACACAGAGUCCCCAAAAAUCUCCCCUGUGCCUGUGAGGUUUGCACCGAUUGAUAUUUUAAGACUCAUUGUUCAGUCACACCAGCUAAGUGCCUGCAUGGACACUAACUACUGAAAUGUCUUUUGCAUCGCUACUCACAGGACAGAGAGUGUCAAAGCUUUAUCAAGGGAAGGCAAAAGCACAUUGCUGCCUUUCAUCUGCUGCAGUCAUAUUAUAGUUCUUUUUGCUGUUGCAGAUGACCUGCGAUCACAAUUGUCUUAUCACCAGCCUAGAUGCGAAGUGGCCCGGCUCGGUUCAUGACUCUCGGAUCUUCCGGGAGUCUAGGCUCUGCCGAACAUUGGAGCAGGGUGUGGCUCUUGCACUAUGCACAUUGUGUUUUGAUGUUCAUCAGACUCCCUGUGACACUGACCAUGACAUCUCCCUUCAUUCACAGGACUUCUCCAUGGAGUGCUGCUUGGGGACCGAGGCUAUCCCUGCCUGCCCUACCUUAUGACCCCCUAUCCUGACCCUGGUGCAGGGCCACAAACACAAUUCAAUUAUGGUUCUCUCCCGCACCAGGGUCAGGAUAGAGAUGACCUUUGGCAUCCUGAAGGCUCGCUUCAGCUGCCUGCGUGACCUGAGGGUGACCCCACGCCGGGCCUGCCGCAUUAUUACAUCCUGUGCUGUGUUGCACAACAUAGCCACCAUUCGGAGGGAGGCAUUGGGAGGGAGGGUCCCACCUGCUGACCCACUCCCCCCCGAUGUGGUGGAUCCAAUCACAUUAGACCAUCCCACUGGCAGGGCUGUGUGGCGGGCUUUAACGGAACAAUUUUUCACGUGAUUUGGCACUUUUGGUUUACAAAGAGAGGAGACAGAGACCUUUGACUUCCUUUUUUUUCUUUUUAUUAAUGAUAUUUGUUGUUAAUCCUUCUGGCCCCCUCUGUCUCGUUCCUGGAAUGGAGAGGAAAAUUUUAGUUGGACUACAUUUCAAGUUAUGAUGUGGCAGCUCUCCAAACAUUACCCUCUUUUCUUCGAGCAGUUUCUCCACCUCGAGCUUGGCCUUCUUAAUUAGCAGCUGCUUUAACUCUGUAUCCAGCUCGAGGUGUCUUUUGUACAGUGCCCUUACAUUGUCUGUUCUGGGCUGGGGACAAAUAAUGCUGUUGAGAUCCUUUUACAUUUACACAUUGUCAGUGAUCAAAGCUCAAAAUCCAGGUUACGUCAAUACCUCCCGUGCUCUCCUUGGCCUUGGGCUGGGGCUGGGGGGGAGGGUCACACGCUCCAGGGGGGACAGGGGGAUCUCCUCAUCCUGCACAUCAUAGCAUGAGAAAAAAAUGAGACAACCUGAAGCAA